rnacentral:rRNA from 1 species
GAGAUACACCUGUACCCAUGCCGAACACAGAAGUUAAGCCCUAGAACGCCGGAAGUAGUUGGGGGUUGCCCCCUGUGAGAUAGGGAAGUCGCUUAGAUU